rnacentral:tRNA from 1 species
AAAAACAAUACUAUCUAUAUAAUUAAAUUAUAUAUUUAUGAAUUCUAAAAUCAUUACAUUUUUUUGCC